GAUGAACGCUGGCGGCGUGCCUAAUACAUGCAAGUCGAGCGAACGGACGAGAAGCUUGCUUCCUUGAUGUUAGCGGCGGACGGGUGAGUAACACGUGGAUAACCUACCUAUAAGACUGGGAUAACUUCGGGAAACCGGAGCUACUACCGGAUGAUAUUUUGAACCGCAGGGUUCAAAAGUGAAAGACGGUCUUGCUGUCACUUAUAGCUGGUUCCGCGCUGCAUUAGCUAGUUGGUAAGGUAACGGCUUACCAAGGCAACGAUGCAUAGCCGACCUGAGAGGGUGAUCGGCCACACUGGAACUGAGACACGGUCCAGACUCCUACGGGAGGCAGCAGUAGGGAAUCUUCCGCAAUGGGCGCAAGCCUGACGGAGCAACGCCGCGUGAGUGAUGAAGGUCUUCGGAUCGUAAAACUCUGUUAUUAGGGAAGAACAGAUGUGUAAGUAACUCUGCACAUCUUGACGGUACCUAAACAGAAAGCCACGGCUAACUACGUG
rnacentral:rRNA from 1 species